rnacentral:rRNA from 1 species
UACGUAGGGUGCAAGCGUUAAUCGGAAUUACUGGGCGUAAAGCGUGCGCAGGCGGUUUUGUAAGUCUGAUGUGAAAUCCCCCGGGCUCAACCUGGGAAUUGCAUUGGAGACUGCAAGGCUGGAGUCUGGCAGAGGGGGGGGGGUAGAAUUCCACGUGUAGCAGUGAAAUGCGUAGAGAUGUGGAGGAACACCGAUGGCGAAGGCAGCCCCCUGGGUCAAGACUGACGCUCAUGCACGAAAGCGUGGGGAGCAAACAGG